rnacentral:rRNA from 1 species
CUCCUAUCUACUGUCUAGCGAAACCACAGCCAAGGGAACGGGCUUGGCAGAAUCAGCGGGGAAAGAAGACCCUGUUGAGCUUGACUCUAGUCUGACACCGCUUGGCGAUAUCAGAGGUGUAGCAUAAGUGGGAGACCAAGUCGACAGUGAAAUACCACUACUUUGAUCAUUGCUAGGCUAAAUCAGUGAUGCGGAGUUUGGGUUUYAUUACCCACAAUUCUGGCCUUAAGUCGUGUUCUUUUACGCGACGAUCCGUUCUGAUGACAGUGUCAGGCGGGGAGUUUGACUGGGGCGGUACAUCUUUUAAACGGUAACGAAGGUGUCCUAAGGCAAGCUCAGCGAGGACAGAAACCUCGCGUAGAGCAAAAGGGCAAAAGCUUGCUUGAUUUUGAUUUUCAGUACGAAUACAGACCGUGAAAGCGUGGCCUAUCGAUCCUUUUGACUUUAAGAGUUUUAAGCAAGAGGUGUCAGAAAAGUUACCACAGGGAUAAC